AUUGAACGCUGGCGGCAGGCUUAACACAUGCAAGUCGAGCGGUAACAGAGAGAAGCCUGCUUCUCUGCUGACGAGCGGCGGACGGGUGAGUAAUGCCUAGGAAUCUGCCUAGUAGUGGGGGACAACUUGCCGAAAGGUAAGCUAAUACCGCAUACGUCCUACGGGAGACAGGAGGGGACCUUCGGGCUGUUUGCCAUUAGAUGAGCCUGGGUAGGAUUAGUUAGUUGGUGAGGUAAUGGCUCACCAAGACCGCGAUCCGUAACUGGUCUGAGAGGAUGAUCAGUCACACUGGAACUGAGACACGGUCCAGACUCCUACGGGAGGCAGCAGUGGGGAAUAUUGGACAAUGGGGGGAACCCUGAUCCAGCCAUGCCGCGUGUGUGAAGAAGGUCUUAGGAUUGUAAAGCACUUUAAGUUGGGAGGAAGAGCAGUUAACUAAUAUUUGACUGUUUUGACGUUACCGACAGAAUAAGCACCGGCUAACUUCGUGCCAGCCGCCGCAGUAA
rnacentral:rRNA from 1 species